CCUACGGGCGGUAGCAGUGGGGAAUAUUGCACAAUGGGGGCAACCCUGAUGCAGCGACGCCGCGUGAGUGAAGAAGGAUUUCGGGAUGUAAAGCUCUAUCAGCCGGGGAGAAAAUGACGGUACCUGUUUAAGAAGCCCCGGCUAACUACGGGCCAGCAGCCGCGGUAAUACGGAGGGGGCAAGCGUUAUUCGGAUUUACUGGGUGUAAAGGGAGCGUAGACGGCAGCGCAAGUCUGAAGUGAAAUGCCGGGGCUUAACCCCAGAACUGCCUUGGAAACUGUGCAGCUUGAGUGCAGGUGAGGUAGGUGGAAUGCGUAGUGUAGCGGUGAAAUGCGUAGAUAUUAGGAGGAACCCCAGUGGCGAAGGCGGCUUACCGAGCUAUAACUGACGUUGAGGCUCGAAAGCGUGGGGAGCAAACAGGAUUAGAUACCCCUGUAGUC
rnacentral:rRNA from 1 species